CCCUGGCCGCCGGCGGCUUUCAUUGCUCGAAGCCCCGCCCGGUCCCAAAUGCGCAUGCGUGGAGGCGAGUUGUGUGGGAAUGGAAGCUUGAGAGGGUCCGAACGUAGAGCCAGACAGGAGCGCAGGGGACCAGCUGCGUGUGUUUGCACGUGACAGUCCCAUUCUCAGCCCGCUGCGCAGGGUCCACCGGUGGUCAGGAUUUUCUUGUGAGAGUCCCGUUCCUUCUGUAUUGUUCUACAAUCUUUCUUCCCUUCCUCUUCCUGGGAAUUUAAGCAAGUCAGCACAGGAAGAACUCAACUAUGUUAAAAUUGUUUAAGGCAACUUACAUGACUUUUAAAAAUCAGCAGGUGCCAGUUAUAUUGCAAAAUUAAGUUGUGCUUUAACUAGAUCCCAAAAGUGCAGAGUAAAAUCCCACUAGAGCAGUGGUUCUUAACCUUUACUGCAGCCUGCACCCCUUUGGUUCUUAAAAUAUGUCCUUGCACCCCUUAUCAAAAAUCAAAAUAUGUUCUCGCACCCCUUAUCAAAAAUUGUUGAAGUAGGUCAGUUCUUUAAACCUAGAUAUAUUUUUGUUUGUAUAUUACAAUAAUCAUUAAAAAAUGUAUAAUGUUAAUAAAUACAUAGGUUUGAUGAAAUAAAGUAGCUGUACUUACGUGCCUGUGCUUAAUUUAUGUUUUCGAUGAUUUACCUUCUAAAAAAAAUCUGGCAUGUCUUGCACCCCCAGAAAAGGCAUCUCACACUCCCAGGGCGUGCGUGCACCCCAGGUUAAGAACCACUGCACUAGAGGAUUGUCCUUGUUUAUGGUCUGUCUAACCAUUUCUGUUUUCACUAAAAAUUGCUUUAAAAAAUGUUUCACUACUAGCCUAUAUAAAUAUGAAGUGUAUACAUCUAAACUAAGUUUACAGAUUGUUAGAAAAUUCUAAUCUAUGGCUAGGAUCUGAACUUGGUUCCUUGCUUCUUAGCCAUUUAGUGCUGGAAGCUGUGUGUCUUAUAGUUGACUUAGGGUCAUUUGAUUAACUCUUAAAAUAUAAGAUCCCUCUUCUGUGUUUGGGAGGUUCACCAUGACAUAAGGCCUUUGAGGGACUUUGUAUGUGUGUGGGGGAAAUGAGUGUGGGGAUCUUCAAUCUCACCCAUCCAGGUUAAAAUUAAAAUAAAAAAAAUCAGUUGGUAUCAAAAGUGGUUUGUGUUUAAAACCAUCAAGUGUUGAUCAUUACAUAAUACACCAUUCAGUAUAACCUUUACUAUAAAAUUUCCAUUUCAUUUUUUAUUUUUAAUGAAAACUUCUUAAAAAAAUCAAUUUCACCUCCAAAAUAUCAUCUUUAUACUUCUAAUCCCUCCACUAAAAUCACACUAGCAACCAUAACUACAAUUCCUCCAUUGUAAACAUCUAGAUCACUUACUGUCUCAGAUGAACUAUUUUUUAAAAUCAGAGUUCAAAAUCUAGGAGUCAACAGCUAAAUCACCAGGGAAAACAUUAUUUAUAAACUCAUUUUAUCUUGUAAUCUGUCUCAACACAAAAAGUAAAAUAGUAUGGAGAUUACAGUGUACUGCUCUUUGUGAACAGAGCAGAUUUAUUCUCCACAGAUGGAUUCACUUGAAGUCCUAUACAUUAGGUAAAUCACAAGUUCACAUGCCUUAAGGCACUGUGUUUACUGAACUCACAAUCAUAAAAGUUUGUGAUUAGUACUUAGAGCAAAUGCACGGUAACUGUUUUUGUUUACAAUUCAUACUAGCUGAACACACACAUU